rnacentral:rRNA from 1 species
AUUGAACGCUGGCGGCAUGCUUUACACAUGCAAGUCGAACGGUAACAGGGAGCUUGCUCCGCUGACGAGUGGCGAACGGGUGAGUAAUGCGUCGGAACGUGCCGAGUAGUGGGGGAUAACGCAGCGAAAGUUGUGCUAAUACCGCAUACGUACUGAGGUAGAAAGUGGGGGACCUUCGGGCCUCACGCUAUUCGAGCGGCCGACGUCUGAUUAGCUAGUAGGUGAGGUAAAGGCUCACCUAGGCGACGAUCAGUAGCGGGUCUGAGAGGAUGAUCCGCCACACUGGGACUGAGACACGGCCCAGACUCCUACGGGAGGCAGCAGUGGGGAAUUUUGGACAAUGGGCGAAAGCCUGAUCCAGCCAUGCCGCGUGUCUGAAGAAGGCCUUCGGGUUGUAAAGGACUUUUGUCGGGGAGGAAAUCCCCAGCGCUAAUACCGCUGGGGGAUGACAGUACCUGAAGAAUAAGCACCGGCUAACUAUGUGCCAGCAGCCGCCGUAA